rnacentral:rRNA from 1 species
GUGCCAGCAGCCGCGGUAAUACGUAGGGUGCAAGCGUUGUCCGGAAUUAUUGGGCGUAAAGAGCUCGUAGGCGGUUUGUCGCGUCUGCUGUGAAAACCCGAGGCUCAACCUCGGGCCUGCAGUGGGUAUGGGCAGACUAGAGUGCAGUAGGGGAGAUUGGAAUUCCUGGUGUAGCGGUGGAAUGCGCAGAUAUCAGGAGGAACACCAAUGGCGAAGGCAGAUCUCUGGGCUGUAACUGACGCUGAGGAGCGAAAGCAUGGGGAGCGAACAGGAUUAGAUACCCUGGUAGUCCAUGCCGUAAACGGUGGGCGCUAGGUGUAGGGGGCUUCCACGUCUUCUGUGCCGUAGCUAACGCAUUAAGCGCCCCGCCUGGGGAGUACGGCCGCAAGGCUAAAACUCAAAGGAAUUGACGGGGGCCCGCACAAGCGGCGGAGCAUGUGGAUUAAUUCGAUGCAACGCGAAGAACCUUACCUGGGCUUGACAUAUACAAGACAGGCGUAGAGAUACGUCCUCCCUUGUGGUUUGUAUACAGGUGGUGCAUGGUUGUCGUCAGCUCGUGUCGUGAGAUGUUGGGUUAAGUCCCGCAACGAGCGCAACCCUUGUCUUAUGUUGCCAGCAUUUGGUUGGGGACUCAUGAGAGACUGCCGGGGUUAACUCGGAGGAAGGUGGGGAUGACGUCAAAUCAUCAUGCCCCUUAUGUCCAGGGCUUCACACAUGCUACAAUGGUCGGUACAACGCGCAGCGACACUGUGAGGUGGAGCGAAUCGCUGAAAGCCGGUCUUAGUUCGGAUUGGGGUCUGCAACUCGACCCCAUGAAGUCGGAGUCGCUAGUAAUCGUAGAUCAGCAAUGCUGCGGUGAAUACGUUCCCGGGCCUUGUACACACCGCCCGUCACGUCAUGAAAGUUGGUAACACCCGAAGCCGGUGGCCCAAACUUGUUAGGGAGCUGUCGAAGGUGGGAUUGGCGAUUGGGACGAAGUCGUAACAAGGUA